rnacentral:rRNA from 1 species
GAUGAACGCUAGCUACAGGCUUAACACAUGCAAGUCGAGGGGCAGCAUGUCGGUUGCUUGCAACCGAUGAUGGCGACCGGCGCACGGGUGAGUAACGCGUAUCCAACCUACCCUUGUCCAUCGGAUAACCCGUCGAAAGGCGGCCUAACACGAUAUGCGGUUCUCAGCAGGCAUCUAACGAGAACGAAAUGUGAAGGAGAAGGAUGGGGAUGCGUCUGAUUAGCUUGUUGGCGGGGUAACGGCCCACCAAGGCGACGAUCAGUAGGGGUUCUGAGAGGAAGGUCCCCCACAUUGGAACUGAGACACGGUCCAAACUCCUACGGGAGGCAGCAGUGAGGAAUAUUGGUCAAUGGACGGGAGUCUGAACCAGCCAAGUAGCGUGCAGGACGACGGCCCUAUGGGUUGUAAACUGCUUUUAUAGGGGGAUAAAGUGUGCCACGUGUGGCAUAUUGCAGGUACCCUAUGAAUAAGGACCGGCUAAUUCCGUGCCAGCAGCCGCGGUAAUACGGAAGGUCCGGGCGUUAUCCGGAUUUAUUGGGUUUAAAGGGAGCGUAGGCCGUCUUAUAAGCGUGUUGUGAAAUGUCGGGGCUCAACCUGGGCAUUGCAGCGCGAACUGUGAGACUUGAGUGCGCAGGAAGUAGGCGGAAUUCGUCGUGUAGCGGUGAAAUGCUUAGAUAUGACGAAGAACUCCGAUUGCGAAGGCAGCCUGCUGUAGCGCAACUGACGCUGAAGCUCGAAAGCGUGGGUAUCGAACAGGAUUAGAUACCCUGGUAGUCCACGCGGUAAA